UGGGGAAUUUUGGACAAUGGGGGCAACCCUGAUCCAGCAAUGCCGCGUGAGUGAAGAAGGCCUUCGGGUUGUAAAGCUCUUUUGUCAGGGAAGAAACGGUAGUAGCGAAUAACUAUUACUAAUGACGGUACCUGAAGAAUAAGCACCGGCUAACUACGUGCCAGCAGCCGCGGUAAUACGUAGGGUGCAAGCGUUAAUCGGAAUUACUGGGCGUAAAGCGUGCGCAGGCGGUUGUGUAAGUCAGAUGUGAAAUCCCCGGGCUCAACCUGGGAAUUGCAUUUGAGACUGCACGGCUAGAGUGUGUCAGAGGGGGGUAGAAUUCCACGUGUAGCAGUGAAAUGCGUAGAUAUGUGGAGGAAUACCGAUGGCGAAGGCAGCCCCCUGGGAUAACACUGACGCUCAUGCACGAAAGCGUGGGGAGCAAACAGGAUUAGAUACCCUAGUAGUCCCUGAGCGGGCUGGCAAGGCGCAU
rnacentral:rRNA from 1 species